rnacentral:rRNA from 1 species
CCUACGGGAGGCAGCAGUGGGGAAUAUUGGACAAUGGGCGAAAGCCUGAUCCAGCAAUGCCGCGUGAGUGAUGAAGGCCUUAGGGUUGUAAAGCUCUUUUACCAGGGAUGAUAAUGACAGUACCUGGAGAAUAAGCUCCGGCUAACUCCGUGCCAGCAGCCGCGGUAAUACGGAGGGAGCUAGCGUUGUUCGGAAUUACUGGGCGUAAAGCGUGCGUAGGCGGUUAUUCAAGUCAGAGGUGAAAGCCCGGGGCUCAACCCCGGAACGGCCUUUGAAACUAGAUAACUAGAAUCUUGGAGAGGUUAGUGGAAUUCCGAGUGUAGAGGUGAAAUUCGUAGAUAUUCGGAAGAACACCAGUGGCGAAGGCGACUAACUGGACAAGCAUUGACGCUGAGGUACGAAAGCGUGGGGAGCAAACAGGAUUAGAUACCCUGGUAGUCCACGCCGUAAACGAUGAUAACUAGCUGUCCGGGCACUUGGUGCUUGGGUGCGCAGCUACGCAUUAAGUUAUUCCGUCCGUCGGGUAGGUACGGUCGGCGAAGAAUUAAAACUUAAAACGGUAAAGUUAGUACGGCGUGAGACGUGCCGAACGGACGACGACGAGGGAGGUAGG